AUGAAGGAUUUGAUAAUCCGGCUAUGGCCUACCAAAGCCAUGCCUAGCAGCUACUUCGGACUCCUGAAGCGGCUUGUCAACACCUGCCCUCGGCCUGAAGCCAUCAAGCGGUCGGUCUGUAUUGAAGGCGCGUGGAUGGCCUUUGCCCGCGCUAAGAUUCAUUGGGCGAAGAUGGACGCCAUGAAGCUGAUGACCGAGGGGCCGCCUGAGGGCAAGGAGCACCGCCGCCCCGAAUUGUAUUUUGACAGUGUCUUGGAGGGAUCCCGCCUUGUGGCGGAGCAAUGUGCUAAGGAUGUCAUAUUCCCAUGA
rnacentral:rRNA from 1 species